CCCCCCCCCCCCCCACCUCAACUGGCCCACAAAAGAGAUUAGACCAUAGCUCACUAAGCAUGCUGUAAGCAUGGAAGAUGCGCUACAUUACAGCAAUUAAACCAAUAAAUUAUUCUCUACAUAAGAAUUUCGUUUAUCAAAUGUCAUCCAAAUAUCUAUUAUCAGUGUGACAACGGAGGACAGAGGACUUCUUACCUUCUGCCAAGACCACUCCUGUAAAGGUUAAAUAAGUAAUGUCAUACUCUAAGAGUAUCGACCAUGAUAAAUGUUGUUGUGUUAACACAUGAGAACUAAGGAAGGGCGAGGUCCUAAAUUGAUAAAUUGUUGAAACAAAAUGUUAAAAAAUAUAACAACAAUAAACUGGGGUGAUUCCCAAAGAAUAAAA